GUACGGGGGGGGCAAGCGUUGUUCGGAAUUACUGGGCGUAAAGGGCUCGUAGGUGGCCAACUAAGUCAGACGUGAAAUCCCCAGGCUUAACCUGGGAACUGCAUCCGAUACUGGAUGGCUUGAAUCCGGGAGAGGGAUGCGGAAUUCCAGGUGUAGCGGUGAAAUGCGUAGAUAUCUGGAGGAACACCGGUGGCGAAGGCGGCAUCCUGGACCGGCAUUGACGCUGAGGAGCGAAAGCCAGGGGAGCAAACGGG
rnacentral:rRNA from 1 species